UAUAUCACUGGGUGCAUGAUGAUUGUGAUAGAGAGAUCACCACAUCACGCUGCCAUUACAUGUGACAUCUCUUCUAUAUCUCUCUCUAAUGCAGUCAUCAUACUCUCAGUUGAUAUG